AGAGUUUGAUCAUGGCUCAGAUUGAACGCUGGCGGCAUGCCUUACACAUGCAAGUCGAACGGCAGCACGGGAGCAAUCCUGGUGGCGAGUGGCGAACGGGUGAGUAAUAUAUCGGAACGUGCCCAGUCGUGGGGGAUAACGUAGCGAAAGCUACGCUAAUACCGCAUACGAUCUACGGAUGAAAGCGGGGGAUCGCAAGACCUCGCGCGAUUGGAGCGGCCGAUAUCAGAUUAGCUAGUUGGUGAGGUAAAGGCUCACCAAGGCGACGAUCUGUAGCUGGUCUGAGAGGACGACCAGCCACACUGGAACUGAGACACGGUCCAGACUCCUACGGGAGGCAGCAGUGGGGAAUUUUGGACAAUGGGCGCAAGCCUGAUCCAGCAAUGCCGCGUGCAGGAUGAAGGCCUUCGGGUUGUAAACUGCUUUUGUACGGAACGAAACGGUCUGNCCUUANUACGGUGGGCUAAUGACGGUACCGUAAGAAUAAGCACCGGCUAACUACGUGCCAGCAGCCGCGGUAAUACGUAGGGUGCGAGCGUUAAUCGNAAUUACUGGGCGUAAAGCGUGCNCAGGCGGUUAUGUAAGACAGAUGUGAAAUCCCCGGGCUCAACCUGGGACCUGCAUUUGUGACUGCAUAGCUAGAGUACGGUAGAGGGGGAUGGAAUUCCGCGUGUAGCAGUGAAAUGCGUAGAUAUUGCCGGAGGAACACCCGAUGGCGAAAGGCAAUCCCCUGGACCUGUACUGACGCUCAUGCACGAAAAGCGUGGGGGAGCAAACAGGAUUAGAUACCCUGGUAGUUCCACGCCCUAAACGAUGUCAACUGGUUGUUGGGUCUUCACUGACUCAGUAAACGAAGCUAACGCGUUGAAAGUUGAACCGCCUUGGGGGGUUACCGGCCGCAAGGUUUGAAAACUCAAAGGAAUUGACGGGGACCCGCACAAGCGGAUGAUGUGGUUUAAUUCGAUGCAACGCGNAAAACCUUAACCCACUUUUGACAUGUACGGAAAUUCGCCAGAGAUGGCUUAGUGCUCGAAAGAGAGCCGUAACACAGGUGCUGCAUGGCUGGUGGUCACUCGUCUUUAGAGAANUGUUGGAUUAAGUCCCGCAACNAGCNCAACCCUUGUCAUUAGUUGCUACAUUUAGUUGGGCACUCUAAUGAGACUGCCGGUGACAAACCGGAGGAAGGUGGGGAUGACGUCAAGUCCUCAUGGCCCUUAUAGGUGGGGCUACACACGUCAUACAAUGGCUGGUACAAAGGGUUGNCAACCCGCGAGGGGGGGCUAAUCCCACAAAGCCAGUCGUAGUCCGGAUCGUAGCCUGCAACUCGACUACGUGAAGUCGGAAUCGCUAGUAAUCGUGGAUCAGAAUGUCACGGUGAAUACGUUCCCGGGUCUUGUACACACCGCCCGUCACACCAUGGGAGCGGGUUCUGCCAGAAGUAGUUAGCCUAACCGCAAGGAGGGCGAUUACCACGGCAGGGUUCGUGACUGGGGUGAAGUCGUAACAAGGUA
rnacentral:rRNA from 1 species